ensembl:lncRNA
GGGGCUCCAGCGGUCCUCGCAACUUGCGUGCAGUUUCGGCAACUCAGGCCUACGAGAAGCUCACGCAGGAAAGAAGCCUGGGUGACUUUAAAACCAGCCAGCUCCUCUUCAGCAACCAGCUGCAGGAGAAUCUACCAAAGGAUCAAGAACAACCUCGAACACAGGAGCACAGUGACACUCAAAUAAGCCAUGCAGAAAGCCUGUCUAGCCUGGACAGCCUAGAGAAUGAGGUGCCUCAGCAUGGUCAUGGCAAUAAACCUGACAGUCUGGAUCCCCCAGAAGUCCACAAUACUAGAAGGCCAGCAUCACUGCAGAGGCAGCUAAACUGCCCAAGUCCAUCAUCUAACCACUGUCCACCAAAAAGAUUCCUGGAGAAGGUAAUAAGUCAGCAGGGUCUGCCUAGUUCUUCCAGGUCUUCAUCACCUUCACCUGUGGAAGAUGAGUCAGGGAAUGAGGCGCCGAGUGCACAUAAUUUAUUAAAAACAGCAGAACAGUUCGAUAUAACAGGCCAGUACCACACUUCCAACAUCCAAGCUACUUUCUCCUGCCAAAAGCAGGUGCUUGCAAUAAAUUCAGUACAUACAGAGUACCAGUAUGGCACAACCUUUCAGGAGAACAUAUCAAGGGACAAAAGCACAAUAUCAGUCCACUGCAAAAUGCAGACAGCCCCAGGUACCUUACCUCUGGAGUACUCAAGCAUGGCUCAACAGUCCAACUCUGGUGAGCUCUCAAAAUUCGCUAAACAUCCGUCAGAGAUGCACGCUGCCCAGAAAGCAAGCAGAAAUGUAUAUGGCAGUGCUUCUGAUCUGAACCAAGUCUCUCCCAGCUUGGAGAACUCAGCCUUACAGAUAGUAGAAGCAGAGAAAUCUUUCCUGUCGACUAAGCGGAAACCAGAUGAAGAUGCUGUUCUAGUUCUUGAGAGGAGAACCCAACUUGGGAGCUUUGACAAAUAUAAGAGAGCAGAACGUCCAAAUUUAGCUGAUGAAUACAGUGAUAGCAGACUGGCAGAGGCCAUUUUGCCCAAGUCUUCCAAAAUGACAGAGGAACCAGACAAAACAUCAGUGGACACUUUGGCCAACCAUACUGACCUCAAUAGCAACAAUGUCCGAUUUCUGAAAGGAAUCCUUAAGAAAAAGUUCAGGUGUAUAGGGGAUGGAGAUGCCAAAUUCAGGUACACCCCAGGCAAUUUUUCAUUCAGCAAACAAGUAGCCAUAGCUAUUAGGGACAGUUUGGAGCUCAUUCGGUCUAAACGCAGGGACCAAGAGAGCAACAAGUGCAUUCAGAAGAAACUUCGCUGGUUUGAUGAGGUGAAUGGCAAUGGAGGAGAAAAUAAGAAAAUAGUGACAAAAGAACUAAGCAAGCAGGCAGAAGGUGAAAGCAGACUAACUCAACCACCUCAACAGCCUUUACUGGACCAGCAGCAUGGACCAUGGUGUAUGAAUAUACCCUCAGGCAUACUAAAAAACAACAAGACCUCCUCUGGCCCAGCUGACCCCAACUCAACCAGACAAGCCUGGUCAGAUGUUGGCCCCCAGAAAGGAAAGCAGCAGGAACCCACAGGGGAAUCCAGAAUGAAAAAAGCAGCUUCCUGCACUACCGGACAGGCACACUCUGGCAGAAUUGGCUCAGGCACCACUUCAUUCCAGGCCAGGCGGGGUACCAUGAUUAGGCCACAAUGUUCCAGUCAGGUGCAACAUAUAGUCAGAACCCAAGGGAAGGUCCUGGUGCCUCGGCCUCCUCCACGAUCUGAGGUAACUGGGGGGAACUCAGGUCAGGCCAUGAUGUACAUCACCAAAACAGGCAACAACGAUGAGUGUUCCCAAGAUAAAGCACGUCUGGCAGUGGAGCAGGUUCUUUAUAAAGACUAUCCAGAAGGUCAGCCUGUUCCUCAGCGCCACAUUCUCAAAACAGAUGAAGGCACUAUAUUGGCCCCAGUUCCACCCUCCUAUGCCUGCAAGUACGAGACUGUGUCUAAAGGCAUCUACACCCGCUGCCAAUCAGACAGCCAGAUUGGCAGGGGCAGUAACGGCUUUCAGAAGGGUAUCUUGGAUCGUACACCAACCGAUGAAGAGAUCUCACUGCUGUGGCAUGGAGUGCGUAGUGCCUUAGCCAGCAAAGAUGGUAAUACCUGCAUCAUGUUAACAACUCAUUUCAUGAUCCAUUUUAUAAUAAGACAAGAUUCUUUACUAUCAUUGCACAUGCAACAAAAUUGUGUUUAAUUCCUAAAUAUUUAGUAAAUCUAAAACUGUAUAGCUGAAUUGUGGGAGCACUGAAUCAGGAAUCAAACAGUAGUUUUGCACAUGUUAACUUGCUAAUAUUAAAAAAUGGGCAUUUUAUCCUUUUUAUAGAUUUACCACAUUCCAGCAAUAUAAUACAAUACUCACAGGCUACCAGACUGCUGGAUGUCCAUGAGUUUUCAUUGCACCUUGUCAUAUAGUCAGACAGGAGUCUGUUGAAAGAACUGAGCUCUCUUUGUGUGUUGGCAAGUUCAGCAGCUUUGCUCGAGAUUCUUUAGGGGUAUUUUUCUAGAGUUUUUGCAAAGGGCUCUUUUUUGUAGAGUUGUAUCAGUAGUGUCUGUUUGCUUUGGCUCUUUGUAAAACACUGCACCACUUAUGGGAUUACUUCUCCACUGAAAUGAAUCCACAUGAUGAUGGAACUGUUAUUUCUUUUGGGUCUUUUAUUUUGUUGUAUAAUAAUAUAAUAAGUUAUGCAUGAAAACUUAUAGUGAGACUAGGGUUUUUUUUUAUGUCUUUUCCCUUGAGCUAUUUCCAAUCUCUUCUCGCUCCCCUUUAUCACUGUCUUUCUUAAAAAUCCAAUUAGGUGACUCUAGAAACUUGCAGACUCACAAUGGACCGUUGUCUGCUUUGCCUCAAACUCAUGCCAAUUUGUCCCAUGUUGCCAUCAAUGGUGAUAGCUUGUUCAGUGGUGUCGAAGCAGUUGCAAGAAUGGGCGGCUUUUUCCUGUCAUCUUCCAAUGUGAGGAGUCCAGCAAGAAGACCUACUAUGGAGAAUAAUAUGGUGAAAAACAGAACUGCAGCAUUAGGUUACAAGAAACCCCCUGUUCUUCAUCAGGUACAUCAGUAUGCUUACAUAUAUAAACACACACACCUCCUCCUUCAUGUCACUGGCCAGAAUUGUGCUUUUUUUGUUACAUAUCAAGUGUGUUCUACCAUGUGUAAUUCUAAAAUUGGAGAACCUUGUUUAACAAUGAUAAUAGAAUUCUUAUACUAGGAUAGACCUAAAAUAGGGUUUGGUUCAGGGUUCCUUGAGGACAAGGAACCUCUGCUGAACUGGAUUAUAAGUCACAAUGGAUUUUUACCAUUUGUGUUUAGUCUGAACUGAAGAGCAGUGGUUAUGUCUACAAGUCACACUGUUUGUGAAUCUUUCAUAUAUAUUUUGGUUGUAGGGUACAUUACCAAUAACUGCAAGUAAAACUGACCAGAUGGUGCCUGAUCAAGGUACUGUACACAAUUCUGUUACUGUUAUCUAAAUAAUAAGUACAAUCCAGAUAAUCAACAAUACUGUAAACUGUGAAUAUUAGAGCUUCAGCUUUCUCACUGUCUUGUCUGUUAGGUUCUAAGGUGAUGGGUGGUGAUGAGCAGGUUGCUGUAGACUUGGCU